GCACGGUGGCCGGGUGGAACGGCGGCUGCGCACCGGCGACGGGCGUACCGAGGUGCACGUCAUCCGGUUCGACACCCGGGCCGGGUAC
rnacentral:tRNA from 1 species